AGCGAACGCUGGCGGCAGGCCUAAUACAUGCAAGUCGAACGGCCCUUCGGGGCAGUGGCGGACGGGUGAGUAACACGUGGGAACGUGCCCUUUGGUACGGAACAACUGAGGGAAACUUCAGCUAAUACCGUAUGAGCCCUACGGGGGAAAGAUUUAUCGCCAUUGGAGCGGCCCGCGUUGGAUUAGCCAGUUGGUGGGGGAAAGGCCCACCAAGGCUACGAUCCAUAGCUGGUCUGAGAGGAUGAUCAGCCACACUGGGACUGAGACACGGCCCAGACUGCUAGGGGAGGCAGCAGUAGGGAAUUUUGCGCAAUGGGCGAAAGCCUGACGCAGCCAUGCCGCGUGAAUGAUGAAGGUCUUAGGAUUGUAAAAUUCUUUCACCGGGGAAGAUAAUGACGGUACCCGGAGAAGAAGCCCCGGCUAACUUCGUGCCAGCCGCCGCAGUAAUAC
rnacentral:rRNA from 1 species